UAAUAAUACAACUCUCAUACACAUUUUUAUUUUAGUUACUAAUGUCCAGUUACUGUUAGUCAUUUAUUCAUCUUGUUUUCAGGUCACGACGGUCACUAUUUUCCAGGAAAACAUCCUCUGCUUUCUUCCACUGGUUAUGAUUAGUACCCUUUUCCUAUGGCCAGUAGGAAAAACAUCUGUGGAAAUAUGAAGACAGCAUUAUACAGUAAAAUGCCUUAACAAUUGGAGAGAAUCAUCAAGUGGAAUCAGCAAGUGGAAACUGCAAAAACCAGCAAAAGUAAUAUGCCAUUAACAAGCAAUACGAGUUGGGUGUACUAAAGACUGAAAUGAGAUUGCACUGAAAACUAAACUGGUAUUAAGUUGCUUCUUUUGUUUUUCUAGAAAGUGUUUAGUAAUGGUUAGCUGGAAAAAUGGUUUAAAGUAUUGGAAGUCAGUGUUAGCCACAUCUUUUCUCUGUUUUUGCAUGGUUUAAUUACUUUGUUUUAUUUAAAAUG
rnacentral:lncRNA from 1 species